AGAGUUUGAUCCUGGCUCAGAUUGAACGCUGGCGGCAUGCCUAACACAUGCAAGUCGAACGGCAGCACAGUGGAGCUUGCUCCAUGGGUGGCGAGUGGCGGACGGGUGAGGAAUACAUCGGGACCUGCCCAGACGUGGGGGAUAACGUAGGGAAACUUACGCUAAUACCGCAUACGUCCUACGGGAGAAAGCGGGGGAUCGCAAGACCUCGCGCGGUUGGAUGGACCGAUGUUCGAUUAGCUAGUUGGUGGGGUAAAGGCCUACCAAGGCGACGAUCGAUAGCUGGUCUGAGAGGAUGAUCAGCCACACUGGGACUGAGACACGGCCCAGACUCCUACGGGAGGCAGCAGUGGGGAAUAUUGGACAAUGGGCGCAAGCCUGAUCCAGCAAUGCCGCGUGUGUGAAGAAGGCCUUCGGGUUGUAAAGCACUUUUAUCAGGAGCGAAAUACCAUGGGUUAAUACCUCGUGGGGCUGACGGUACCUGAGGAAUAAGCACCGGCUAACUUCGUGCCAGCAGCCGCGGUAAUACGAAGGGUGCAAGCGUUAAUCGGAAUUACUGGGCGUAAAGCGUGCGUAGGCGGUUUCUUAAGUCUGCUGUGAAAUCCCCGGGCUCAACCUGGGAAUGGCAGUGGAUACUGGGAAGCUAGAGUGUGAGAGAGGAUGGUGGAAUUCCCGGUGUAGCGGUGAAAUGCGUAGAGAUCGGGAGGAACAUCAGUGGCGAAGGCGGCCAUCUGGCUCAACACUGACGCUGAGGCACGAAAGCGUGGGGAGCAAACAGGAUUAGAUACCCUAGUAGUCC
rnacentral:rRNA from 1 species